AACUCCCGUGCUGAUCAGUAGUG
rnacentral:piRNA from 2 species